rnacentral:tRNA from 1 species
AGGGAUUUAGCUCAGUGGUGUAAGCACCUGCCUGAUAAGCAUGAGGUCUGGGACUUGGAGUUUAAUCCCUC